CCCUUAGAUGUUCUGGGCUGCACGCGCGCUACACUGAUACCUUCAGCGAGUCCACCACCUUGCCUGGGAGGGUGGGGUAACCUCUGGAAAGUGCAUCGUGAUGGGGAUCGAUUAUUGUAAUUAUUAAUCUUCAACGAGGAAUUCCUAGUAAGCAUGUGUCAUCAGCCCGUGCUGAUUACGUCCCUGCCCUUUGUACACACCGCCCGUCGCUCCUACCGAUUGAAUGCUCAGGUGAGCCAUUCGGACUUUCAUCAUGCUGGUUUCCAGUUUUGAUGAAGGAAAGUCUUGCGAACCUUAUCAUUUAGAGGAAGGAGAAGUCGUAACA
rnacentral:rRNA from 1 species